rnacentral:rRNA from 1 species
AUACGGAGGGUCCGAGCGUUAUCCGGAAUCAUUGGGUUUAAAGGGUCCGUAGGCGGGAAUCUAAGUCAGUGGUGAAAUCUUGCAGCUCAACUGUAAAAUUGCCAUUGAUACUGGAUUUCUUGAAUUAGUGUGAAGUGGUUAGAAUGUGUAGUGUAGCGGUGAAAUGCAUAGAUAUUACACAGAAUACCAAUUGCGAAGGCAGAUCACUAACACUAUAUUGACGCUAAGGGACGAAAGCGUGGGGAGCGAACAGAAUUAGAAACCCUAGUAGUCC